rnacentral:rRNA from 1 species
UACGAAGGGGGCUAGCGUUGUUCGGAAUUACUGGGCGUAAAGCGUAUGUAGGCGGAUCGUUAAGUCGGGGGUGAAAUCCCGAGGCUCAACCUCGGAACUGCCUUCGAUACUGGCGAUCUUCGAGUCCGGGAGAGGUGAGUGGAACUCCGAGUGUAGAGGUGAAAUUCGUAGAUAUUCGGAAGAACAACAGUGGCGAAGGCGGCUCACUGGCCCGGUACUGACGCUGAGGCACGAAAGCGUGGGGAGCAAACAGG